GUAAUAGUUGCAGGUACAUUUAGUUGUAGUUUAGAAUGAAAAGUAAUCAAUGUAAAAAAAUUGAUCCUGCUACAUAGGCAAAACAUUAUUCAGCUGUUAUCUUUGUCUAUCUCAGGCAAUCUUUGGUAGCCAAUUGUUUUUAGGCAUUUUUAGGCACAAGGACAAUAAAGAAGCGAAGCAAAUAUUGCUCAAAAAUCCACAAUUUCCAAUCAAUGGUCAAAAUAACAACGACAGAAACUCAAAGAAGAUUUAAAAAGUUAACUCAUAAAGCACCAAAUACAGUCAUUUUUUAGGGCCAGGGGGGGGGGAAUGCCCCCCUGUACGCCCAAAUGACGCCCCUGCGCCCCUAAGGAGCAUAAGGAGUUUCGAGAAAGAAGAAUAAUAGUAAUUCAAUAUAAAAUAAAUAAAUAAAAAUAAUAAUUCAAUAAAUAAUUUAUUAAAUUAAAAAAAAAGACUCUCUUCUGAAAAUAGAGUUCUGUCUUUAUAACUUAGAAGGGAGUUGAUGGUACCAAAAAUAUUUUAACAAAUGUAUAUUGUUUAUUUAAAUUUGUUAAAUGUAUUUGUUAAAUGUAAUUAAUAUAUUAUGGCAAAUUAGUUAAUAAAUUGUAAAAAUAGAUUUAGUAGUUUAGUAAAAAAUGUAAAAAUAUAAAAAAUAACUGUAAUCCCAUCAGGAAAAAACGACCUGGAUUAGUCACUAGAGGCCAGGUCAUAUGUAUAAACAAUAAAUAAAUAAAUAAAUAAAUAAAUAAAUAUAACUACAGUCGAACCCGCUUAUUAGAAUCCCUGUUAUAGGAAUAUCCCGGUUUAUGGAAUAUAAAUUCAAGUUCCCGAAACAUUUACAUUUACUCCUUAAUAAAUUUAUCUGUUUAUUGGAAUAGGAUCUAACUAGAUAAUACCGCUUAUUAGCAUAUUUUGCAGGUCAAAGAAUAUUUUUUUUUACAAUUUACUAAAAAUUUAAAUUAUGUUUGGUAUUAUGGUUUGUCGUCAACGGCCGGUAGUGCUGGAUUAGAUAUUAUUAGGGUAAUAAAUAUUUAUUACUUUGUUAGGAAUACCAAUUCGAUCUUUAGCAUAGCCGACAAAUGCAUGGGUCAUAAAAUAAUUUUUAUUUGUCUACACAAAGGCACUGUUGCCUGUUAUAAAAUUGUUAGAAGCAGUUUAGUUAGAAUUCACUCAGACAGUACCUACUUGUUUGCAAGAUGGAAUUAUGGCUUUGUUAAAUUCGAAAAGAAGAGAAAAGAACAAGAAUGUAACAAUCCAUUUCUUGACGCCAAUAAAACUUCUAUUCAACCAAUGGAUUAAGGAUGACCACACGGAUUAACAACGAAAAAGCUAUAAUUACCAAUAAUUUCUCAAGAAAAAAAAGUAAUUUUGUUAUAUAGGUAUGCAUUUUAAUAAGAAAAUAUUUACAUAUCUACAUAUUGCAUACAUUUCAUAUUAAUUAUAUAAUGUAUUCAUUCACAUACAUGUAAUGUAAUUUGGUAUUUAACACAUACAUAGAUAAGUACUAGUUACACUACUGUAUUAUUGACGUAAAAAGACCUAAAACCAUUUACAUACACUGAAUAUGUAGGUACAUAUAAUAUGAUAUACAUAUUGGCAUAGUAUGUAAUAAAACUACAUAUUGGCAUAGUAUGUAAAACUACACAUUGGCACAGUAUGUAAAUAAUAUUAUUACGUAUAUUCGGUAACACUUAUUUCGACUAGCCACCAAUGAUCGGUUAUUAGAAUAUCCCGGCUAUAAGAAUAUUUUUGCCUUGCACAAAGGCUAUUCCAAUAAGCGGGUUCGACUGUAUUAGUUUUCCCAAU
rnacentral:lncRNA from 1 species